CACGUAGGGUGCGAGCGUUGUCCGGAAUUAUUGGGCGUAAAGAGCUCGUAGGCGGUGUGUCGCGUCGGCCGUGAAAACCUGCAGCUUAACUGUGGGCGUGCGGUCGAUACGGGCAUCACUUGAGUUCGGUAGGGGAGACUGGAAUUCCUGGUGUAGCGGUGAAAUGCGCAGAUAUCAGGAGGAACACCGGUGGCGAAGGCGGGUCUCUGGGCCGAAACUGACUCUGAGGAGCGAAAGCGUGGGGAGCGAACAGG
rnacentral:rRNA from 1 species